rnacentral:rRNA from 1 species
CUACGGGGGCACCAGUGGGGAAUCUUAGACAAUGGGGGAAACCCUGAUCUAGCCAUGCCGCGUGAGCGACGACGGCCCUAGGGUUGUAAAGCUCUUUCAGCAGGGAAGAUAAUGACGGUACCUGCAGAAGAAGUCCCGGCUAACUCCGUGCCAGCAGCCGCGGUAAUACGGAGGGGACUAGGCGUUGUUCGGAAUUACUGGGCGUAAAGCGCGCGUAGGCGGAUUGUUAAGUCGGGGGUGAAAUCCCGGGGCUCAACCCCGGAACUGCCCUCGAUACUGGCAGUCUUGAGUUCGAGAGAGGUGAGUGGAAUUCCGAGUGUAGAGGUGAAAUUCGUAGAUAUUCGGAGGAACACCAGUGGCGAAGGCGGCUCACUGGCUCGAUACUGACGCUGAGGUGCGAAAGCGUGGGGAGCAAACAGGAUUAGAUACCCCAGUAGUC